GUCUACGGCCAUGCUACUCUGAACAAGCCUGAUCCCAUCUGAUCUUGAAAGCUAAGCAGGGUCAGGCCUCUUUAGUACUUGGAUGGGAGACCACCUAGGAAGACCAGGUGCUGUAGGUG
rnacentral:rRNA from 1 species